GACGGAGGGUGCAAGCGUUAUCCGGAAUUAUUGGGCGUAAAGCGUCCGCAGGCGGCCGUUCAAGUCUGCUGUCAAAGACCGGGGCUUAACUUCGGAAAGGCAGUGGAAACUGAACAGCUAGAGUAUGGUAGGGGCAGAGGGAAUUCCUGGUGUAGCGGUGAAAUGCGUAGAGAUCAGGAAGAACAUCGGUGGCGAAGGCGCUCUGCUGGACCAUAACUGACACUCAGGGACGAAAGCUAGGGGAGCGAAUGGG
rnacentral:rRNA from 1 species